UAAUUAUUGUCCUUGUAAUUGGAGCUGUGGGUUUAUUUGCUCUCUUCUGUCGGAAACAUCCCCAUCCUUUUCGCAGGAUCACCACUGGUAACAAGGAAACAGGUAGCAAAAGUGCAGCGACAAAUGAUCCCGAGGAAAACAUUUCAAAAGCAACGAUUGCUGGUAGUAAUAGUGCAACAACAACUGAUCCCGGGGAAAGAAUUCCAAUGGUGAAAACAACAACAAU